rnacentral:rRNA from 1 species
AUGGGGGCAGGGAGGAGCAUCGUGGCCGGAGGGAGCGCUGGAUCUGAUAGCUACGGGGAGCUGUUGGGGUCAACGACUCAGUUUGUUUGGCUGAGGCGCUCUUGUGUGGAUAAAGAUGAGGAUGGAGAAAGCGGUGUGGGGUCCCGCUGGGACACGUGUCACGCGUCAGAGGAGGGAAAAACGGUUUGGAAUUGGCAAUCUGGAAUUGCCAGGCCAAAUUUUGUUGUCUGGGGGUGGUACAGGAUUUGGGCUUGGAAAAGUUGGCCCAAUUCCAAGCGAUCUCGCGCAAGGUUUCCGGAAAGGCUCGGAAACGCCCAGCAGCCCCCACCCCGCAUACCUCGCUCGUUCGCUGGACGACCUGCUCUCGCUCCCGACUCCCCUGAAUCAACCGCCGGCGGCGGCGGUCAGUUCUCCGGCCCUCCUCUCCCUCUCCCAUCCGUCCCCUCCCUCCUCUCCCUCCGAUCCGUCCCCUCAUCCUCUUCCACCGUUCUCCGGCCAUGGCGCGACCUCCUCCGGCGAGGCCCUCAAACCCUAGAUUCUGUUCCCAGGGGAUUUAGGAGCUCAAAUUUCCGUGGUGCCAAGCCUAUAAAAGGACCCGGCUCCUUCACUUGUAACAAGGCCAUUUCAUUCCAAUCCAUCCAGCCUCAUAGCAAAGCUUGUGCUAUGUACUUUGUGUUUCCUCGACAUCGUCUGAUCCUCGAGAGCCAGCUAGACUGUAGUUGGGCUAACAUUGGCAUCAGAGCCUCAGGUUAUGCUGAAGCAUGCCGAAAGAAGGCGUUGCGGGCGACGGCUCCAAGACCGCCGAGCAGAGCUCGGCUGAGGAGGCCCGUGCGGCGGACUCGCUCGCGCCGCGAGGCAGGCCGGGAGGCGGGCUGGAAGCCACGCUCCGUGCGAGACGUGGGCAUGUCCAGUACCUCCUUCCCUCUCCUCACGCGGACCAACUACCCCACUUGGUCGCUCCUGAUGAAAGUCAUCAUGGAGCCCCGGCAUAUGUGGAAAGCCGUGGAAACCGGUGAUGUCGAGUACGAGGAGGACCGGUUGGCGAUGGAGGCGAUCUUGCGCUCCGUCCCACCGGAGAUGGUGCUCACCCUUGGCGCCAAGAAGACGGCCAAGGAAGCAUGGGACACCAUCAAGACCGCGCAUCGGCGUGGAGCGUGUACGGGAGUUGAAGGCCCAGACCUUGCGCCUCCAGUACGAGGAGAUUCGGUUCAAGGCCGGUGA